rnacentral:rRNA from 1 species
CGUCCUACGGGAGGCAGGCAGUGGGGAAUUUGCGCAAUGGGGAAACCCUGACGCAGCAACGCCGCGUGGAGGAUGAAGUCCUUGGGACGUAACUCCUUCGAGUCGGGAAGAUAAUGACGGUACGGAAGAAGAAGCCCGGCUAACUUCGUGCCAGCCGCCGCGGUAAUAC